rnacentral:rRNA from 1 species
GGAUUAGAUACCCCGGUAGUCCACGCUGUAAACGAUGAAUGCUAGGCAUGCGCGAGUAUCGACCCUCGUACGUGCCGCAGCUAACGCGAUAAGCAUUCCGCCUGGGGAGUACGGUCGCAAGACUAAAACUCAAAGGAAUUGACGGGGACCCGCACAAGCGGUGGAGCAUGUGGUUUAAUUCGACGAUAAGCGAGGAACCUUACCAGGGCUUGACAUGUAUCUUCAAGCGCACGGAAGCGUGUGAUCUUCGAGAGUGAUACACAGGUGCUGCACGGUUGUCGUCAGCUCGUGUCGUGAGAUGUUCCCUUAAGUGGGAGAACGAGCGCAACCCUCAUGUUAUGUUGAUUUUCAUAAC